rnacentral:rRNA from 1 species
AUUGAACGCUGGCGGCAUGCCUUACACAUGCAAGUCGAACGGUAACGGGUCCUUCGGGAUGCCGACGAGUGGCGAACGGGUGAGUAAUAUAUCGGAACGUGCCCAGUAGUGGGGGAUAACUGCUCGAAAGAGCAGCUAAUACCGCAUACGACCUGAGGGUGAAAGGGGGGGAUCGCAAGACCUCUCGCUAUUGGAGCGGCCGAUAUCAGAUUAGCUAGUUGGUGGGGUAAAGGCCUACCAAGGCAACGAUCUGGAGUUGGUCUGAGAGGACGAGCGGCCACACUGGGACUGAGAAACGGCCCAGACUCCUACGGGAGGCAGCAGUGGGGAAUUUUGGACAAGGGGCGCAAGCCUGAUCCAGCAAUGCCGCGUGCAGGAAGACGGCCUUCGGGUUGUAAACUGCUUUUGUCAGGGAAGAAAUCUUCUGGGCUAAUACCCCGGGAGGAUGACGGUACCUGAAGAAUAAGCACCGGCUAACUACGUGCCAGCCGCCGCAGUAA